ACGUGAAGUUUAGAAUAAACUCGGGAAACUGAGUGUAAUACUGAAUAGGGAACAAGGUGUGGAAUUCUCUUGUUCUAGAAAGCUUCGGCGCUUCACGAUCGGUCGGCGGCCCAUCAGGUAGUUGGUGAGGUAAUGGCUCACCAAGCCUAAGACGGGUAGGGGCCACGAGAGUGGUUGCCCCGAGAAGGACACUGAGAUACUGGUCCUAGCCCUAAGGGGUGCAGCAGGCGCGAAAACUCCGCAAUGCACGAAAGUGUGACGGGGGGAUUCUGAGUGCUUACGGUUUACCCGUAGGCUUUUCAUCAGAGCAAAUAUCUGGUGGAAUAAGUGGUGGGCAAGACUGGUGCCAGCCGCCGCGGUAACCCCAGCGCCACAAGUGGGAACCACGCUUAUUGGGUCUAAAGCAUCCGUAGCCGGUUUAGCAAAUGCCCUGUGAAAUCGUUGCGCUCAACGUAACGACGUGCAGGGUAGACUACUAGACUUGGGACCAGAGGAAGAAGACGGUAUUCUCGGGGGAGCGGUAAAAUGUGAUAAUCCCGAGAGGACCACCGAUGGCGAAGGCAGUCUUCUAAUAUGGAUCCGACGGUGAGGGAUGAAAGCUAGGGGAGCGAUCUGGAUUAGAUACCCAAGUAGUCCUAGCUGUAAACGCCGCAUGCCAGAUGUUGUACCAUCUUCGAGAUUGUGCAGUGUCGAAACGAAGGUGUUAAGCAUGCCACCUGGGAAAGUACGGUCGCAAGGCUGAAACUUAAAGGAAUUGGCGGGGGAGCACACCAGGGGUGCGGCGUGCGGUUUAAUCGAAUUCGACGCCGAGAAUCUCACCAGGGGCGCCGGCAGAAUGAAGCUCAGUCUAAAGGGCUUAGCUGACGAGCCGAGAGGUGUUGCAUGGCCGCCGUCAGCUCGUGUCGUGAGAUGUCCUGUCAAGUCAGGCAACGAGCGAGACCUACAUUCACCGUUGCUAACGCGUUCGUAAGAAUGAGCGAGCACACAGUGAGGACUGCCUCCGAAAGGGGGAGGAAGGUGUAGGCUACGGCAGGUCUGUACGGCCCGAAUCUCCUGGGCAACACGCGCGCAACAAUGGUCGUGACAAUGGGAUGCGACACCGAAAGGUGAAGCCAAGCCUCCAAACACGACCCUAGUAUGAAUUGAGGGCUGCAACUCGCCCUCAUGACAUCGGAAUCCCUAGUAAUCAGAAGUUAGCAUCUUCCGGUGAAUAUGUCCCUGCUCCUUGCACACACCGCCCGUCAAACCAACCCGAGCAGGUUUUUGAUGAGCUACG
rnacentral:rRNA from 1 species